GCCGUCUUAGCUCAUCUGGGAGAGCGUAAGACUGAAGAAGCCAGCUGCUGUUCUGUGCGGCGGCCGCCCUGCUAUCUUAAGGCACCUGGUUCAAUCCCGGGAGACGGCA